AAUCCCAACUCAGGGAGGUAGUGACAAGAAAUAACAAUGCGGAGCUUCGUGUUCUGCAAUUGAAAUGAGAACAAUUUAAACCACUUAACGAGUAUCAAUUGGAGGGCAAGUCUGGUGCCAGCAGCCGCGGUAAUUCCAGCUCCAAUAGCGUAUAUGUAAGUUGUUGCGAUUAAAAAGCCCGUAGCUGAACCUCGGGCAGCCCUGAUGGUCCGCCUAUGGUGAGUACUGUCCUGGGCUGUCUUUCUGUUACGUGCCGUAUCUCGGCGUUUAUUCGCCGGGAACGGAGCUUAGCAAGGUUACUUUGAGUAAAAUAGAGUGUUCAAAGCAAGCAUGCGCUCUGAAUACACUAGCAUGGGAUAACACGACAUGACCGAUGGUCUAUCUUGUUGGCCUGUAGACCUGUUGGUAAUGGCUAAUAGGGACGGUCGGGGGCAUUCGUAUUUCGCUGUCAGAGGUGAAAUUAUUGGAUUUGCGAAAGAAGAACUACUGCGAAAGCAUUUGCCAAGGACGCUUUCAUUAGUCAAGGAGGAAAGUCGGGGGAUCGAAGACGAUUAGAUACCGUCGUAGUCUCGACCAUAAACGAUGCCAAUUAGGGAUUGGAGGGCGGAUUCAAUAUGCCUCCUCCAGCACCUUCCGCGAAAGCAAAAUUUAUGGGCUUCGGGGGGAGUAUGGUCGCAAGGCUGAAACUUAAAGGAAUUGACGGAACGGCACCCCCAGGCGUGGAGCCUGCGGCUUAAUUUGAC
rnacentral:rRNA from 1 species